rnacentral:misc_RNA from 1 species
GAAUAUCUCUACUCCUCAAUUUUUUAAUUAAGAUUGGUUUGGAGUUAGGUCCUUGGGCUUGCUUGCGGUUUGUUACGAACACAAGCUUGCCUUAAAUAUAUUAGCUGGAUUUCAGUAGAGUUGUUAAGUAACAUUGAAAACUCUCGUAAUACGAAGUCUGCUUCUAACCCGCUGUUACUUUAUUGUAGCACACAUAUUCAUUU